UACGUAGGUGGCGAGCGUUGUCCGGAAUCAUUGGGCGUAAAGGGAGCGCAGGCGGGCAUGUAAGUCUUUCUUAAAAGUUCGGGGCUCAACCCCGUGAUGGGAAAGAAACUACAAGUCUUGAGUACAGGAGAGGAAAGCGGAAUUCCCAGUGUAGCGGUGAAAUGCGUAGAUAUUGGGAGGAACACCAGUGGCGAAGGCGGCUUUCUGGACUGCAACUGACGCUGAGGCUCGAAAGCCAGGGGAGCGAACGGG
rnacentral:rRNA from 1 species